AUUUUUGGAUAAUCGCGUGGCAUUGCCAUGAGGAAAGUCCAUGCUAGCACUAGCUGUGAUGCUGGUAGUGUUUGUGCUAGGCGAAUGCAUAAGCCUAGGGAGGUAGCGUGCUACCUUACGGCGACUGAAAGGGCUAAGUCUUUGGAUAUGCUCAAAUAAGUCUGAAAGUGCCACAGUGACGAAGUUUUCAGGGAAAUCUGAAAAGUGGAACGCGGUAAACCCCUCAAGCUAGCAACCCAAACUUUGGUAGGGGCAUGGGAAAGCUGGAAACGAACGGUCUUUCCUGACUGUAUAUUAUACAGUAGACAGAUGAUUAUCGAAGGCGGUAGUGCCUAGUACCGCUGGAACAAAACAUGGCUUAUAGAA
rnacentral:RNase_P_RNA from 1 species